CCUACGGGAGGCAGCAGUGAGGAAUAUUGGUCAAUGGACGAGAGUCUGAACCAGCCAAGUAGCGUGAAGGAUGACUGCCCUAUGGGUUGUAAACUUCUUUUAUAUGGGAAUAAAACAGGGUAUGCAUACCCUCUUGUAUGUAUCCUAUGAAUAAGGAUCGGCUAACUCCGUGCCAGCAGCCGCGGUAAUACGGAGGAUCCGAGCGUUAUCCGGAUUUAUUGGGUUUAAAGGGUGCGUAGGUGGUUUGUUAAGUCAGUUGUGAAAGUUUGCGGCUCAACCGUAAAAUUGCAGUUGAAACUGGCAGUCUUGAGUACAGGAGAGGUGGGCGGAAUGCGUGGUGUAGCGGUGAAAUGCUUAGAUAUCGCGAAGAACUCCGAUUGCGAAGGCAGCUUACUGGACUGCAACUGACACUGAUGCUCGAAAGUGUGGGGAUCAAACAGGAUUAGAUACCCUGGUAGUC
rnacentral:rRNA from 1 species